AGGGGUAUAGCUCAGUAGUAAAGCAUUUGCCUUGCAUGCACAGGCCCUGGGUUCAAUUUCCGCUACCACCA
rnacentral:tRNA from 1 species